rnacentral:rRNA from 1 species
GACGAACGCUGGCGGCGUGCCUAAUACAUGCAAGUUGAGCGCUGAAGGUUGGUACUUGUACCAACUGGAAGAGCAGCGAACGGGUGAGUAACGCGUGGGGAAUCUGCCUUUGAGCGGGGGACAACAUUUGGAAACGAAUGCUAAUACCGCAUAAAAACUUUAAACACAAGUUUUAAGUUUGAAAGAUGCAAUUGCAUCACUCAAAGAUGAUCCCGCGUUGUAUUAGCUAGUUGGUGAGGUAAAGGCUCACCAAGGCGAUGAUACAUAGCCGACCUGAGAGGGUGAUCGGCCACCUUGGGACUGGGACACGGCCCAAACUCCUGCGGGAGGCAGCAGUAGGGAAUCUUCGGCAAUGGACGAAAGUCUGACCGAGCAACGCCGCGUGAGUGAAGAAGGUUUUCGGAUCGUAAAACUCUGUUGGUAGAGAAGAACGUUGGUGAGAGUGGAAAGCUCAUCAAGUGACGUUAACUACCCAGAAAGGGACGGCUAACUACGU